rnacentral:rRNA from 1 species
AGCAGCCGCGGUAAUUCCAGCUCCAAUAGCGUAUAUUAAAGUUGUUGCAGUUAAAAAGCUCGUAGUUGAAUUUCGGAAUCAAUAUAUCGGUCGUGCCAUUGGUACGUACUGGUAUCAUUGGUUUCUCCUUUCUGACGAACCAUGAUGCCAUUAAUUUGGUGUUAUGGGAAGUUAGGACUGUUACUUUGAAAAAAUUAGAGUGUUUAAAGCAGGCUUUAGCUUGAAUACAUUAGCAUGGAAUAAUGAAAUAGGACGUUCGAACCUAUUUUGUUGGUUUCUAGGAUCAACGUAAUGAUUAAUAGGGAUAGUUGGGGGCAUUAGUAUUCAAUUGUCAGAGGUGAAAUUCUUGGAUUUAUUGAAGACUAACUACUGCGAAAGCAUUUGCCAAGGAUGUUUUCAUUAAUCAAGAACGAAAGUUAGGGGAUCGAAGACGAUCAGAUACCGUCGUAG